UCACUUACCUGGACGGGGUCGAUGGGUGAUCAAGAAGAUCCAUGGCCUGGAUCAAUGGCCUACAUUGCACUUGGUAGGCGCGUUGAUUUACCAUCUCCCCAAGUGGGAGAGUGGACGUCGUAAUUUGUGGUAGAGGGGGUACGCGUUCGCGCGGCCCCUGC
rnacentral:snRNA from 1 species